AGAGUUUGAUCCUGGCUCAGGAUGAACGCUGGCUGCGUGCCUAAUACAUGCAUGUUGAACGAAGCUAAAAGUGCUUGCACUUUAAGACUUAGUAGCGAAUGGGUGAGUAACACGUACUUAACCUACCCCCAAGUUUGGGAUAACGUUUGGAAACGAACGCUAAUACCGAAUACGUAUUUUUAUCGCAUGAUAGAAAUAUAAAAGGAGCUUCGGCUUCGCUAGGGGAUGGGAGUGCGCUACAUUAGUUAGUUGGUAGGGUAAUGGCCUACCAAGACUAUGAUGUAUAGCGGGGCCGAGAGGCUGAUCCGCCACACUGGGACUGAGAUACGGCCCAGACUCCUACGGGAGGCAGCAGUAGGGAAUUUUCCACAAUGAACGAAAGUUUGAUGGAGCGACACAGCGUGCAGGAUGAAGGUCUUCGGAUCGUAAACUGCUGUUAUAAGGGAAGAAAAACUUUAGUAGGUAAUGACUAGAACUUGACGGUACCUUAUCAGAAAGCGACGGCUAACUAUGUGCCAGCAGCCGCGGUAAU
rnacentral:rRNA from 1 species